AAUAUUUCCUCCAUUAUUUCCUCAGCCACCUCCUGCUUCUCCACCGUCAAUAUUCCCUCCAAACCCAUUUCAGCCUCGUCCUCCUCAGCCACCUCCUGCUCCUCCAUCGAUAUUCCCUCCAAACCCAUUUCAGCCUCGUCCUCCUCAGCCGCCUCCUGCUCCUCCAUCGAUAUUCCCUCCAAACCCAUUUCAGCCUCGUCCUCCUCAGCCACCUCCUACUCCUCCAUCCUUAUUCCCUCCGAUAUUUCCUCAGCCUCCUCCAGCUGCAGCUUCUCCUCCUCCAUCAAUAUUCCCUCCAAACCCAUUUCAACCUCGUCCUCCUCAGCCUCCUCCCACUCCUCCUCCAUCGAUAUUCCCUCCAAACCCAUUUCAGCCUCAUCCUCCUCUUCCC
rnacentral:lncRNA from 1 species